CGAACGGCUGUAGCAAUACAGCAGUGGCAGACGGGUGAGUAACACGUGGGAACCUUCCUAGGGGUACGGAACAACUCAGGGAAACUUGAGCUAAUACCGUAUACGUCCGUGAGGAGAAAGAUUUAUCGCCCUUAGACGGGCCCGCGUCGGAUUAGCUAGUUGGUGGGGUAACGGCCUACCAAGGCGACGAUCCGUAGCUGAUCUUAGAGGAUGAUCAGCCACACUGGGACUGAGACACGGCCCAG
rnacentral:rRNA from 1 species